rnacentral:rRNA from 1 species
GAUGAACGCUGGCGGCGUGCCUAAUACAUGCAAGUCGAGCGAACAGACGAGGAGCUUGCUCCUUUGACGUUAGCGGCGGACGGGUGAGUAACACGUGGGUAACCUACCUAUAAGACUGGGAUAACUUCGGGAAACCGGAGCUAAUACCGGAUAAUAUUUCGAACCGCAUGGUUCGAUAGUGAAAGAUGGCUCUGCUAUCACUUAUAGAUGGACCUGCGCCGUAUUAGCUAGUUGGUAAGGUAACGGCUUACCAAGGCAACGAUACGUAGCCGACCUGAGAGGGUGAUCGGCCACACUGGAACUGAGACACGGUCCAGACUCCUACGGGAGGCAGCAGUAGGGAAUCUUCCGCAAUGGGCGAAAGCCUGACGGAGCAACGCCGCGUGAGUGAUGAAGGUCUUCGGAUCGUAAAACACUGUUAUUAGGGAAGAACAAACGUGUAAGUAACUGUGCACGUCUUGACGGUACCUAAUCAGAAAGCCACGGCUAACUACGUG